rnacentral:piRNA from 1 species
UGGGACAUAAAAGAUAUUUGUAUAUAUU